rnacentral:rRNA from 1 species
GUGGGGAAUAUUGGACAAUGGGCGAAAGCCUGAUCCAGCCAUGCCGCGUGUGUGAAGAAGGUCUUCGGAUUGUAAAGCACUUUAAGUUGGGAGGAAGGGCAGUAAGUUAAUACCUUGCUGUUUUGACGUUACCGACAGAAUAAGCACCGGCUAACUUCGUGCCAGCAGCCGCGGUAAUACGAAGGGUGCAAGCGUUAAUCGGAAUUACUGGGCGUAAAGCGCGCGUAGGUGGUUUUGUAAGUUGGAGGUGAAAUCCCCGGGCUCAACCUGGGAACUGCCUCCAAAACUGCAUGACUAGAGUACGGUAGAGGGUAGUGGAAUUUCCUGUGUAGCGGUGAAAUACGUAGAUAUAGGAAGGAACACCAGUGGCGAAGGCGACUACCUGGACUGAUACUGACACUGAGGUGCAAAAGCGUGGGGAGCAAACAGGAUUAGAAACCCCUGUAGUCC